UGGGGAAUAUUGGACAAUGGGCGAAAGCCUGAUCCAGCCAUGCCGCGUGAGUGACGAAGGCCUUAGGGUUGUAAAGCUCUUUUGGCGGGGAAGAUAAUGACGGUACCCGCAGAAUAAGCUCCGGCUAACUUCGUGCCAGCAGCCGCGGUAAUACGAAGGGGGCUAGCGUUGUUCGGAAUUACUGGGCGUAAAGCGCACGUAGGCGGACUGAUAAGUCAGGGGUGAAAUCCCGGGGCUCAACCUCGGAACUGCCUUUGAUACUGUUAGUCUCGAGUCCGGAAGAGGUGAGUGGAAUUCCUAGUGUAGAGGUGAAAUUCGUAGAUAUUAGGAAGAACACCAGUGGCGAAGGCGGCUCACUGGUCCGGUACUGACGCUGAGGUGCGAAAGCGUGGGGAGCAAACAGGAUUAGAUACCCCGGUAGUCCCUGA
rnacentral:rRNA from 1 species